ACCUUCGUGGUUCAGUGGUCAGCACACUCGACGCGUAACCGAGAGGUCCGUGCUUCGAAUCCCGGCGAAGGAG
rnacentral:tRNA from 1 species